rnacentral:rRNA from 1 species
AGUGAACGCUGGCGGUAGGCCUAACACAUGCAAGUCGAACGGCAGCACAGUAAGAGCUUGCUCUUACGGGUGGCGAGUGGCGGACGGGUGAGGAAUACAUAGGAAUCUACUUUUUCGUGGGGGAUAACGUAGGGAAACUUACGCUAAUACCGCAUAUGACCUACGGGUGAAAGCAGGGGAUCUUCGGACCUUGCGCGAUUGAAUGAGCCGAUGUCGGAUUAGCUAGUUGGCGGGGUAAAGGCCCACCAAGGCGACGAUCCGUAGCUGGUCUGAGAGGAUGAUCAGCCACACUGGAACUGAGACACGGUCCAGACUCCUACGGGAGGCAGCAGUGGGGAAUAUUGGACAAUGGGCGCAAGCCUGAUCCAGCCAUACCGCGUGAGUGAAGAAGGCCUUCGGGUUGUAAAGCCCUGUUGUUGGGAAAGAAAAGCAGCAGGUUAAUACCCCGCUGUUCUGACGGUACCCAAAGAAUAAGCACCGGCUAACUUCGUG